rnacentral:lncRNA from 1 species
AAUAUUGAAUAAUAAUAAUAAUAAAUAAAUUACAUUCUAAUGACUAGAAUUAUAUCGCAUACCAUUAUUGCAAGAGAAGAUUGAACAAAGAAUAUAGAUCUAUUUAUCAAUAUUCGUAUCUUCCUCGAUGUGUAGAUCCUCUUCUGAAUCACAAUAAUCGACAUAUAUAUCGUCUUCUAUCUCAUCAUCAUUUAUAAACUGAUCAUCGUCCUCUGACUCAUCA